ensembl:lncRNA
GGUGGCGCUAGUGGUAAAGAACCUGCCUGCCAAUGCAGGAGACAUAAGAGAUGCAGGUUCAAUCCCUGGGUCGGGAAGAUCCCCCGGAGGCAGGCAUGACAACUGACUCCAGUAUUCUUGCCUGGAGAAUCCCAUGGACAGAGGGAGCCUUGGUCUCUACAGACACUGAAUUAGUUACCUCGGAACCACGGCUCCCAGGGCAAAUACAGGGUGAGGUUCCUCGGAGCCUCCCUUGGGCAAAACAGUGGAGCCACUGACAUACAUUUUGCUGAAUUUCCUCUUCCUUUUUCUGGAUGUGCCAUAUUGUGGAUUCAUUAACACUGAACCCUGGGUCGGCAGCACCAUAACACACACCUGAAGGAUGCUUAUCAAAUGUGUAUUACAUGUGUAUUCUCCUGCGGGCACAUCACAGUCUUCUGGCCCUUAGGAACGCUAGACAGCCCUUCAGCUCUCCACCCAGGAGCAUUUUAAACAAUGAAGUCACCGACAAAAUGCCCAAAGUGGCACUAAAGAGACACAGAAAGGAAGCUUGUUUAGCGUCUGAGACCUGAAACAAGAAGCCAGCGUUACCUUAGUUGGAUCUCAGCUGGGAAUGUGAGCGACUCAAAAUUUUGCCUUUCUGCUCUGACCAUGAACAGCAGAGAAAGCCGCAGAAGUCCUGAGCCGGGGGCUUACAAAUCAGUGUUGGUGGGUAGGUGCGUUGGCAAACGCAGACUCCGUGAACAACGAGGAUCAGUUGUACCCUGUUACAGAAGGCCUGUGAGGAGAGGCACUCGGUCCCCAUCCGCCGAUUGAAUCUGACUGUAAACACAGGCCAAACACCCAGGGGGCGGCCUUCCCUGACCCCGUCCUCCGUCUCCCUCUUGAUGCGCCCAGGGCUCCCCAUCACGCAUCACGGCUGUUUACCUGCCUGUCGUCUUUGCUGACAUCCAUUAAAACCCUUGAGGUGUCCAGACACUUGCACAUGAUAACUCGUGAUGGGCAUGGUCCUCACGUCAGAGGUGGGUGUUAUUACCAUUCAGCCCAUUUACAGACGGGAAAUGCACACGGUUAGUGGAGCUCUUAAAACUCUCCAAGCUGACAGGCCGACGCCAGAGCCCGCAGCUGUAACCAUACACCCAACAGCUCUUGCUUGCUCACGGCUGAAUCCCCGCAGCUUAAAAGUGACUUGGGGCACCCAAGUGACUCCAGAAAUAUAAUCUGAAAGCCUUUCAUCUCUGACCUUCCAGGCAGCGCCACUUGGUACACAGACCCCUCCUUAGCCCAGAGCUUAUAACCUCCCUUCUCCAGGGCUUCAAGGGCUUCCAGCCUCUGCGACCUCACGGGUCCCACCCAUGCUCAGAAGGACCUUGCACUUGGUUUAAUGCUCUGCUGUGGCCGUCUUGAAAAUUCUUAAUUUUGAAGCAAGGGGCCCCAUCUUCCUAUCACACUGGGCGCCUCAGAUUCCACAGCCAGUACCGCCCCUGACUCCCCCAUCUCCUCUCCCACAAGUCAGUGCAAGCGGCCUCCACUUUGUUGAAAACUUUCCAUCCCAGAUUAACAUGUACAUUUCUAUUCUGGUUCUGGAGCCAACUAAUGCGUGUAACUUAAUCACACUGUUGUUUGUUCAGUCUGGCUGUAAACCAUGUAAACUCCAUCCUCCCGGGAGCUUUCGCUGCCGCUUGGGGAAUUAACAACACACGUCAAGCUCGUUACAUGACUCUCCCAGGGUUCUGCUCCAAUGUCUGCUCUCAGAAUUUCUAACCCUGAGCAGGCUGCAUUUCAGCCCUGAGAGAUGCCUGCCCUUCAAUUACUGAAUGUGAGCUCCUACCCUUAAAGUCCCCUCAGAUCAGAAAGAACAAAUCCAAACAAAGAAACUCUAACCACGUACUGUUUCUAUCUCUGCUCACGGGUAAAUGACAAGACAUAAUACCUGAAAUCUGUCUCCGUAAAGUGUUUCCAAAAAGAUAAGAAAAAUGGAUCCUUUUCUCCUCCCUGCUCUAAUCUGGAUAUAAAAUGAAAUUUAAAUCAACAAAUAGGUGACUGUGCCUGAGCCUUAGU